rnacentral:rRNA from 1 species
GAUGAACGCUGGCGGCGUGCUUAACACAUGCAAGUCGAACGAUGAAGCCGGAGCUUGCUCUGGUGAAUUAGUGGCGAACGGGUGAGUAACACGUGAGUAACCUGCCCUUGACUCUGGGAUAACUGCGGGAAACUGUAGCUAAUACCGGAUACGACCCUCGGAGGCAUCUCCUGGGGGUGGAAAGAAUUUCGGUCAAGGAUGGACUCGCGGCCUAUCAGCUAGUUGGUGAGGUAAAGGCUCACUAAGGCGACGACGGGUAGCCGGCCUGAGAGGGUGACCGGCCACACUGGGACUGAGACACGGCCCAGACUCCUACGGGAGGCAGCAGUGGGGAAUAUUGCACAAUGGGCGCAAGCCUGAUGCAGCAACGUCGCGUGAGGGAUGACGGCCUUCGGGUUGUAAACCUCUUUUAGCAGGGAAGAAGCGAAAGUGACGGUACCUGCAGAAAAAGCACCGGCUAACUACGUGCCAGCAGCCGCCGUAA